AUAAUUAAAAUAAAAAUAUAAAAAUUAAUAAAAUAGAAAACGAAAGAUGGUUCUCACAAACGCGACCUUCUCCCUCAACACGGACAAAACCGAACCCUAAACGCCUCUCCGCCGCGAACUUCUCCCUCUUUGCAACGAAGCCCUAAACGCCUCUCCACGAAUCCCCUCUCUCCGAUGCCUCUCGGCGAACCUUCCUUCCUCUGCGACGAAAUCCUUUCUACUACCACCGGUGACUUUGUUCUUCCGCCUCGUUGUUCAGAGUUUUCAAGAGUUUUCAAGGGUUUUUCAACAGUUCUCUUCGUUGUUGCCGCCAUCAUCACGUUCAAGUCUUAAUCAAUAUGUAUCCCUAUUUCUUCAGUUAUACAUUUAUUGAUAUGGUUAUACUUGAAGAACCAAUAGAGAGGAUAUAUUACAAACUCAAUGGCACUAAGGAUUGGUUGCUUUAAUCAAAGGAAUUUUCAUAAGUUUUGUUUGCUUCAAUGACACUAUCAAUAGUCAGACACCAUUGCAUUUCCUGUUAUGUUUUUAUGGAAUAAUUGGCAAUUGGCAUGACUUAGUUUUUGCAAGGAGUUGAAAAAAUUAAGAGUUAAAGGUAAUAUCUAUAUCUUAUAUUAAGAUCUUUCUUGAUUGAAUCUUUCUGUAUAUUAAGACUUUAGAAGUUUCACCACGGAGGUGAUGGUGAUGAGUUUGUCAGAAUAUUAUUUCAUCAUUUGAAAAGAUUGUGCAGUAUAGAGAGGCUAGAUAGAAGAAUACUAGUAAGGUUUAUGAUGCCAUCAUCAACCGAAAAGUAUGUAGAUUGGAAUAAAGACUCAUUUUUUAAAUUAAUUAUAUCUUUAUAGGUGAAAAAACGAUCAUAUCUAACUCUUAAAUGCCACCAUCUCUGUUUCAUUGUAGAGAGGGCUGAUGUUUAAGUUUCAAUUUCCCAUCUUGGCUGAUUGCUAGUUAACUAUGUGUUGGUAAUCAUUAUCAUAGUAUUUUAAAGAGAUUUAUUCAAUUAUCAUACUUGAGUACUGCUGCUAAUUGAUUUUUGUGAUAUUGGUUGUUGUCAUUUCUAGGCUUUAUUUUCUCUAAGUUGUUAAUUUUAUUAGGCUUCUAUGUUGAGCUGAGUUUAUCUUCUUCUUUUUUCCUUUUCAGAAUUAAAAGGUCUGAGGACAACCCUGUGGAAAUAUGGAGAUGAUUGAUUCAACCCAGCGAUUUUAAGAAUGGUCUCCCGAAACCAACUUAUAAGUUAAAUGUUAAAGGAGGAGACAAAGUUAAGCAUACAAAUAGAAGGAAUCGAGGUUACAAGUAUAAAUUUGUAACUUUACGAUUUAUAAUUGAUUAUUCUAGGUAUAUGAUAUUAACUCUACUAUUAUGGAAUGAUUUUAGUAUAUAUAAGUAUAAUUUAUGCUAUUAGGUGUAUGGUACUCUAUUAUUAUAGUAUGAUAAUUUUAGUGUAGAAGUAUAAUUUUGUAACUUUAUGUUAUUAAUGGAUGAUUUUGGAUUUUUGAAUUAAAUAAAUUUUGGUGUAUGUUACUCGAGAAACAAUAGUAAAAGAAAAAAAUUAAUAGAAUUUAAAUCGGGUGAGAUAUGAACAGAUUUAAAAUAACGUUUUUUAAAUCGGUUGAACCGAUUUAAUUUUGGAUUUUAAAUCGGAUCAAAUAUAUUUAAAAACUUCCAAUGACUUUUUAAACAUUUUUUAAAUCAGGCAAACUGAUUUAAUAAACUCUUUGAAAUCGGGCAACCCGAUUUAAUAAAAUCUUUUAAAUCGGUUCGAAACCCGAUUUAAAAACGAAAAACUUACUAAAUCGACGGAAUUUAAAUCGGUCCCAGAACCGAUUUAAAAAGCCUUCCAGAACCGAUUUAAUAAGUGUUUUUUGC